UUUCUCUAGGUGACACGGCACCAGAGUUAAGUUAGGGUUUUUCAAAAUGCUGACUCGCCGAGCUCAAAAGGUUCGCCGUCACUGGGCUAGGCUCAGUCUGUCUUCCUUCCCUUUCUCCUCUGAAAGGCUGGAGCAGUGCUGCACGUAGGUUUGUCUCGAUCUGCUCUGGGGGCGGCUCCCGUGGGCAGACGCACCUUCUCCUUCUCAGAGUGCAUACGGAUGUGAUGUGUAUGUUCACCUAAGUGGGAACACAGUCGUCAGUGGUAGCCCUCAGCCUCCCCAGGCUCAUACAGCCUGGUCGUAAGAUGUUUCUGAACUCAGUGCUGCAGGAUCAGCGUGGGAUCUGGCUUCCUAGGAUGCUGGAUCUUCUACAGACAAACCCUCAGGCCAGCGACCGUGCGUGUCCUGCACACACAGAGCAGGGUCUCUUGCCUGGCUCCUGCAGAGACGCUCAGGAACCAGAAGGAACGGUCUCAGCCAGCUCCCUAGACCCAGCUCUGGGGUGCCUGAGCCAUAUAGUUGAGAUGUCAGAGCUCUGCCUGGCCCUUUGCCUCGGUCUCUCUCAGGUGGCCAGUUGCUCUGUUUUCAGUGAUUGACCAUGGAGAGGGCCAAUAGCCAUUGACCUUGGUUUUGGCCAGUUUGGGGAGGUUAGCAGUUGCCCUGAACUCUUGGCCCCUUUGCAUCAUUCUACCAGCUUUAGGCACCCAUGAGGUCAAACCAGGUUCUGUUUGGAAAAGAGUAUGCUGUGGGGUAAUGGUAGCAACAGCAAUAAUGUUAUGAAUGCCUUUUAUCAGUUGUAGCACUUUCUCCUUUGCAAAGCAUCUUCACUGACUUUGUGUUGCUUAACCUCAGUCCUCCCCAAAGGGGAGGCAGGCCCAUCAUCAUUCUGUAUCUGUGAUGAUGAAGUCUGAAGAACUCUGCAAGCUGCGGAUAGGUUCUUUGCACUUGGACAAACUGUUUCUGAAUUGCUGAGCGCUUUAAAACGUAGUUCUUUUACCACCUGUAUCCCCACUUUCGUCUUCAUGAAGCCCUCUUGGUUCAUUGACUUCUGCUCUGGUUUGGAUCUGGAUUCCAGCUAACGAAGGGGCCACUUAGAGCCGAGUCUGUCUGCUCUGACGUCGUUUCUACAUCCUGAAGCCUGUUUAGGGUUACUGAGUCACCUGGGAUCGAGGCUGAACGCCGGGAAAUUUUGAAGAUGAUGUACUUUAUUUCCAGUGGAGGAAACUUGUAUGCUCUUUCAUCUCAGUGAGAAGUUCCAGUUUGAUUUGCUGUCACCGCUGCUGGUGCCGCGAGCUGCGGGGAGUGGGAGACAGCUUUAGCUCAGCAACACUUUCCCUGCCGCUUGCUCUAAGGACACUAUUUAUGAAUCUAAGAUAGUGAUUAUCCUAAACUGUUAAAAUUAAACCCCAUUCACAACUCGUUGAUUUGUUGCUAAUUCCGGAGAAAAACAUUUCCAAUCACUUCAGUUUUGUAAAUUAAUGACUUUAAAACACGUCCAAGGGAAAGGCCAAGUGUGAGACUUCAGAGUCCCGCUAAAUAAAUACAGGUGUGUCUCCGUU